UUCAAGAGAGAUGGAACUGAAAGGGCAGUAAGAGCAGACUUGAAAGGAAACAGCAGACAAGUUUGCAGAUUAUUCUUGACCCCAAUGGUAUAAGUAGAGACUCGGGCUUUGUUGCCUUUUCAACAGCUGAAGAAGGAUCUCGAGAUAUGGAUAGUAAAAUUGUAAAUUAGCCAACCACUUUAUGCUGCCGUUGCUCAAAGGAAAGAAGAAAGGAAAGCCAGGUUGCAGCUAUUCGUAUAUGUAGCUUCUUUCUUAUUCUAUUGAGUUGAGGUGACAUGCACGUGUAUAGUUUUUCUUUUCUUUUUUCCUAAUGGACCUGGAGUUAAAAUCAGCAUGAAUGUAUAUAAUACUAUUAAUUUUUGUUGUAUACGGACGGGAACAGUUUUCUCGUAUGCAUAUGGGACCUGUUGUAUGCCUAUGUAUCCUCCUGGCGCACCUCGUUUUGGAAAGCAAAUAUUCCUGUAAUGAUGUCAAACUUUUUGAUGCCAAUGCUUCAUCCCGGGCAGCAGAAUCUACGCCAAGGAGGUAGCCCGAUGCUACAAACACUUCCCUUCAUGCGGCCACAGCGAACAGGAGGUCAACCGUCAGGAAUAGCGAACAUGCAAAACCACCGGAACAACAGAAAAACAUAUCACAAUUAACGCUCAAUCAGCAGGAGAAAAGUAAAGAUGCCGAAAGAAUGUUUGGGCCGUCCCUCUCUCUGGAUUUUUGUAGCCCACGCUAAGCCGAGGCAACUGACAAUCUUUCUCAGUCUGUUAAGCCUAACAGGCUGUUAUAACAAACUAACCAACUGGCUUCAAUGAACAAGCCUAACCAUCAAUGGUUGUGUUAUUCUCAUUAUUAGAACUAAUAUCCGACUUCCACUGCUGUAAUCUCUUAUAAUAAUUUAGUUAUAAUAUAAAACAUAUUA